UAUGUUAAUGGCAUAAUUAUUUGGUCUAUAAUUAACCUCCGUAGUAGAAUCCCCACUGUAUAAAAAACAGUAUUAGCAAUAGAUCCGCACCCCCUACUCGGGCUGUGCUGAGACUGGGUCAUAUGGCUGAGGGUAGCGUAAUCCCGGUCGUCUGAUCUACGGCUGGCCGUGCGGGAAUCACGUGUUCUAUAACUGUGUGAUAGUGACGUAACAUCUCCCUCGCUUCUCCGCCCGUGUAACUGGACUGUGUGGCAGUAUGAGAUGGCGCAUGCUUAGGAAUUCCAUCCUGAUUAGCACGAGCCUUUUGUCAGUUCGUCUAUCUUAUGGCUAGAGGGUGAAUGGUGUGUAUUACUGAGCAUACUGCGAUGCAAUGUCCGUGAUUCACGAUCAGCCCUAUGGUGUACGUGGUAGGGAGUGACAUACUGAUGUCCGGUACCUGACCACCCGAUUCUGUUAGCCGCCUCUUACGACAAGCAUAGACGCGUUUUACGGCAAGCAUGGGUUGCUGAAGACCUAUUCUACCCCGAUCUUCACGAGUCUUUUGAUUUUGGACAUGCAACUAAAUAAAAGCAAAAACCCUUUUCCAUUAUUAUAAAGCUCAAAAA